AGUGAACGCUGGCGGUAGGCCUAACACAUGCAAGUCGAACGGCAGCACAGAGGAGCUUGCUCCUUGGGUGGCGAGUGGCGGACGGGUGAGGAAUACAUUGGAAUCUACUCUGUCGUGGGGGAUAACGUAGGGAAACUUACGCUAAUACCGCAUACGACCUACGGGUGAAAGCAGGGGAUCUUCGGACCUUGCGCGAUUGAAUGAGCCGAAGUCGGAUUAGCUAGUUGGCGGGGUAAAGGCCCACCAAGGCGACGAUCCGUAGCUGGUCUGAGGGGAUGAUCAGCCACACUGGAACUGAGACACGGUCCAGACUCCUACGGGAGGCAGCAGUGGGGAAUAUUGGACAAUGGGCGCAAGCCUGAUCCAGCCAUACCGCGUGGGUGAAGAAGGCCUUCGGGUUGUAAAGCCCUUUUGUUGGGAAAGAAAUCCAUCUGGUUAAUACCCGGGUGGGAUGACGGUACCCAAAGAAUAAGCACCGGCUAACUUCGUGCCAGCCGCCGCCGUAA
rnacentral:rRNA from 1 species